rnacentral:rRNA from 1 species
AGUGUAGGUGGUUGUCCAAGUUGGAUGUGAAAGCCUUGAGCUCAACUCAAGAAAUGCAUUCAGGACUGGAUGGCUAGAGGACCGGAGAGGAUAGUGGAAUUCCCAGUGUAGUGGUGAAAUACGUAGAGAUUGGGAAGAACACCAGUGGCGAAGGCGGCUAUCUGGACGGUUUCUGACACUAAGAUCGAAAGCGUGGGGAGCAAACA